UUUUAUUCAUAAGAGGAGGACACCACCGGAUAGGUCAGCAUUUAUUACCAAUCCCUAAAAGCCCACAGGGUAGUUAAGAUUCAAUCGAAUUGCUGUGGGUCUGGUGUCACAUGUAGGCUGACCAGGUAAGGAAUGGCAGUUUCCUUCCCUAAAGGACGUGAAUGAAUCAGAUGGGUUUUACUGACAAUCGAUCAUAGGUCACAAUCAGCCACUUUAGUCCAGAAUUUUGUUGAUGUUAAAACCCACCAUCUGCCAUGUAGCAUUCAUGCGGGUCCCUAGAAUAUCACAGAGAUCUCUGGAUUAACAGUCCACCAAUAACACCACCAGGCCAUCGCACCCUUUUCACUAUUUCCCAACUGUCAGAACCGUCUGACAAUUUCUAUUCUAAAUUGGUCAGAAUAGGAGAGAUUCCUAAUUGCUCAUUAAAAGAAGGAGACAGAUGAUGCAUUCAUCCGCUUAAACGUGGACCAAACGCUAAGCUUAAUCCUCAGAUAUGAGAACAAAGAAGAGACAGAUAUUAAAUGUCCAAAGAUUCCCAAAAGCCAAAAUAGCUAGUCAAAUACAAAACCCAGUGAGGUCCAGAAGACAUUGAUGGUCACACUGGCAUAAAAACAGCUUCCGCGGAAGAAAAUGAGUGGAGUCAAAAGCGUUGUGAAACACGUUUCCAUCAUAAAGUUCACAAGAUUGUUAUCUGUACACAGGAGUUACAUUGUACCGCUUCACCAGAUGGUGUAUAGAAUCGAACGAACACCCCUCCCUCCACACAGUCUAUCCUCUUGCUUCUUAUUUGCGUGGAAUAUUCGCGUAAAUGUUUCCAUCUGCUCCGUUUCUAUCUUGUGAGUGCCCACUGAGGUUCAGUGUGGCGUAUGUGAUACAAUAAUCAUCAGGGUCAGUCUUGGCAUCCUGCAUCCCAGCAGAGGAGAC